UACGUAGGGGGCAAGCGUUGUCCGGAAUCAUUGGGCGUAAAGAGCGCGUAGGCGGCUCAGUAAGUCCGCUCUGAAAGUCAGGGGCUCAACCCCUGGAUGCGGGUGGAUACUGCUGGGCUAGAGUCCGGAAGAGGCGAGUGGAAUUCCUGGUGUAGCGGUGAAAUGCGCAGAUAUCAGGAGGAACACCGGUGGUGUAGACGGCUCUCUGGACCGUAACUGACGCUGAGGCACGAAAGCGUGGGUAGCAAACAGG
rnacentral:rRNA from 1 species